rnacentral:misc_RNA from 1 species
AACGCACCUUGCGCCCUUUGGUAUUCCGAAGGGCAUGCCUGUUUGAGUGUCAUUAAAUUCUCAACCUUUGAAACAUUGUUUCAAAGCUUGGACUGUGGAGGCUUGCCGGCAUAUUACUUGUCAGCUCCUCUUAAAUGCAUUAGCGGGACCUUUUGUUUAGGACUUGGCUCCAGUUUGGUAAUUCUAUCUAUGCUGUUGCUGUUGACCUUUGUAUGUUCUGCUUCUAAUGGUCUUCGGACUGUCUCUUCUAUGAGGCAUACAACUUUUAAGCUUGACCUCAAAUCAGGUAGGACUACCCGCUGAACUUAA